rnacentral:rRNA from 1 species
AGUGAACGCUGGCGGUAGGCCUAACACAUGCAAGUCGAACGGCAGCACAGUAAGAGCUUGCUCUUACGGGUGGCGAGUGGCGGACGGGUGAGGAAUACAUCGGAAUCUACUUUUUCGUGGGGGAUAACGUAGGGAAACUUACGCUAAUACCGCAUACGACCUACGGGUGAAAGCAGGGGAUCUUCGGACCUUGCGCGAUUGAAUGAGCCGAUGUCGGAUUAGCUAGUUGGCGGGGUAAAGGCCCACCAAGGCGACGAUCCGUAGCUGGUCUGAGAGGAUGGUCGGCCCAAUGGGAACUGAGAAAGGGUCCAAACCCCUACGGAAGCCGGCGGUGGGGAAUAUUGGAAAAGGGGGGCAAGCUGGAUCAAGCAAUACCGGGUGGGUGAAGAAGGCCUCCGGGUUGUAAAGCCUUUUUGUUGGGAAGAAAAGCAGCAGGUUAAUACCCCGCUGUUCUGACGGUACCCAAAGAAUAAGCACCGGCUAACUUCGUG